GGGGUAUUGGCAUGGGGGAACCCUGAUCCAGCGACGCCGCGUGAGUGAAGAAGUAUUUCGGUAUGUAAAGCUCUAUCAGCAGGGAAGAAAAUGACGGUACCUGACUAAGAAGCCCCGGCUAACUACGUGCCAGCAGCCGCGGUAAUACGUAGGGGGCAAGCGUUAUCCGGAUUUACUGGGUGUAAAGGGAGCGUANACGGCACUGCAAGUCUGGAGUGAAAGCCCGGGGCUCAACCCCGGGACUGCUUUGGAAACUGUGGUGCUAGAGUGCAGGAGAGGUAAGUGGAAUUCCUAGUGUANCGGUGAAAUGCGUACAUAUUAGGAGGAACACCAGUGGCGAANGCGGCUUACUGGACUGUAACUGACGUUGAGGCUCGAAAGCGUGGGGGAGCAAACAGGAUUA
rnacentral:rRNA from 1 species